rnacentral:rRNA from 1 species
CGGAGGAUGCAAGCGUUAUCCGGAAUGAUUGGGCGUAAAGCGUCCGCAGGUGGCAGUUCAAGUCUGCUGUCAAAGACCGGGGCUUAACUUCGGAAAGGCAGUGGAAACUGAACAGCUAGAGUAUGGUAGGGGCAGAGGGAAUUCCUGGUGUAGCGGUGAAAUGCGUAGAGAUCAGGAGGAACAUCGGUGGCGAAGGCGCUCUGCUGGACCAUAACUGACACUCAGGGACGAAAGCUAGGGGAGCGAAUGGG